GAUCAUGGCUCAGAUUGAACGCUGGCGGCAGGCCUAACACAUGCAAGUCGAACGGUAACAGAAAGCAGCUUGCUGCUUUGCUGACGAGUGGCGGACGGGUGAGUAAUGUCUGGGAAACUGCCUGAUGGAGGGGGAUAACUACUGGAAACGGUAGCUAAUACCGCAUAACGUCGCAAGACCAAAGAGGGGGACCUUAGGGCCUCUUGCCAUCGGAUGUGCCCAAGAGUGGGUAUUAGCUAGG
rnacentral:rRNA from 1 species